AGAACGAACGCUGGCGGCAUGCCUAAUACAUGCAAGUCGAACGAACUCUUCGGAGUUAGUGGCGCACGGGUGCGUAACGCGUGGGAAUCUGCCCCUUGGUUCGGAAUAACAGUUGGAAACGACUGCUAAUACCGGAUGAUGACGAAAGUCCAAAGAUUUAUCGCCAAGGGAUGAGCCCGCGUAGGAUUAGCUAGUUGGUGAGGUAAAGGCUCACCAAGGCAACGAUCCUUAGCUGGUCUGAGAGGAUGAUCAGCCACACUGGGACUGAGACACGGCCCAGACUCCUACGGGAGGCAGCAGUAGGGAAUAUUGGACAAUGGGCGAAAGCCUGAUACCAGCGAUGCCGCGUGAGUGAUGAAGGCUUAGGUUGUAAAGCUACUUUUACCGAGAUGAUAAUGACAGUAUCGGAAGAAGUAACG
rnacentral:rRNA from 1 species